GCUGAGUCCAAGGUUUUCCAAGGAGACUAUGGUGUAGGACAGUAUCGGUGAGAGCGAGAUUCCGUUACUGAAGAAAAGAAGGAAGAGGAUAGGAUUAGUUAGGUGUAUUGGUAAAGGCAGGCAUGCGUGAGAGGGAUUAAAUAGGAGUGAAAAAAAUCUAAAACGUGGGCAUAAGAAUUGCUGGUCAUCCGAAGCGGAGGUACUAAUUAAUAGCAGAGCUAGAAUCUAGGCCGAGUGGGGUUAAACCCGAUUAGUGGAAUUUUCAAAAACCUGGCCCGGAAGAUUGCCCAGCGCAGCCGAGUCAGUGAUUUUGCCCGAGGGAGAUAAUUUCUGGAGAGGAUGUGCCAGAUGAGCCGACCGUCGAAACCAAAUUGUGAGUCCGUUCCGUGCCUGUUAUUUUGAGCCGUGUAUGAAGCCGAGAUUUGUGAGGGGUGCAUGUCUAACCAGGUCAAACGAACGAUCCGCGCAGAGUGACCAAGGACCGUGCCGCAGACGCAGUGGUACACGUAGUCCGAGCCGUUGGACUCUGCCGGAGCCACCUCUACGAUCACCUAAGGAUUUGCACUCACGUUUGCACUCACGUUUACACUCAAUUUUGCACCUACAUAUUGGCAGAUCGACGAUCGCCCACAGUACAUAUAUUUUUUUUGGGAAUUGUUCCUCACACUCCUCGCAAGCCGUUACGGACACAUAUGUGCCCGACAGUAUUCGUAUUGUCCAUCGUGUUGUCCCUAUUAUAUGUGUUAAUUGUUAUUUAUUAGUAAUUUAAGCAAACCCUAACGUAAAAAAACACUUUUGUAAACGCCAAACAUUGGCGCCGACAUAGACACAAAACAAAACAUAUGGUAGGAUUAACCCUUGUGCGCGGCGCGGGGUCCCACAAGCCCACCGUUUUGGUGAAAUAUUGUUUGGUCAUUUUUGUUGUCGAUGGCCUUGUUUAUAUCUGCCCCUAUGACCCUUAACAAGAGCUCUUGGUAGGUUAGUCUCGGGAGGGCCC